GUACUCACUUCAGGAGCACAUAUACUAAAAUUGGAACGAUACAGAGAAGAUUAGCAUGGCCCCUGCACCAGGAUGAUACACAAAUUUGUGAAGUGUUCCAUAUUGUG